rnacentral:snRNA from 1 species
GAGUGUGAGGGGCAUCUGACUGUGAAAUCUGUCACCCCAUUGAUCUCUAGGGUUGACUCGGCUGAUCUGGCUUCUUCCCUCACUGCUCCAUGUGUAUUCCCAUCUCAAAGAUGCUCACUUGGUUGAAGAGGAUGAACAUCCUCACUAGAGGAGGACCGUUCUUCAUUGUAGGGUUUAUGAACUACUGCGCACCCUGCUGGAACCUCUCAACAAGCCCUCUCACGAAAUCUGACUGCUCCAAGACAACCAUGCUGGAGAGGUCAUCAGAAGGGCUCAGGUCAACUGUUCCAGCAGAGCCCAGCCUUG